rnacentral:rRNA from 1 species
ACUCCUACGGAAGGCAGCAGUGGGGAAUCUUCCGCAAUGGACGAAAGUCUGACGGAGCAACGCCGCGUGUACGACGAAGGUCUUCGGAUUGUAAAGUACUGUCUUCAGGGACGAAUGGUAGGUAUGAAAAUAUUGUACCUACAUGACGGUACCUGAGGAGGAAGCCCCGGCUAACUACGUGCCAGCAGCCGCGGUAAUACGUAGGGGGCAAGCGUUGUCCGGAAUCAUUGGGCGUAAAGGGCGCGUAGGCGGAUAAUUAAGUCUGGUGUGAAAACCUGG